AAUCAACGCUGGCGGCGUGCCUAACACAUGCAAGUCGAACGCGAAAAGGGCUUCGGCUCUGAGUAGAGUGGCGUCCGGGUGAGUAACGCGUGGGUAAUCUACCUUUGGGUGGGGAAUAACUAGUCGAAAGGCUAGCUAAUACCGCAUAACGCAAUUUUCUAUUAGGGAAUUGUUAAAGCAGUAAUGUGCCUAAAGAUGAGCCCGCGUCCGAUUAGCUAGUUGGUAGAGUAAAAGCCUACCAAGGCGACGAUCGGUAGCUGGUCUGAGAGGAUGAUCAGCCACAAUGGGACUGAGACACGGCCCAUACUCCUACGGGAGGCAGCAGUGGGGAAUUUUACGCAAUGGGCGAAAGCCUGACGUAGCGACACCGCGUGAGCGAAGAAGCCCCUUGGGGUGUAAAGCUCUGUCAGCUGGAACGAAAAAAUGACGGUACCAGCAGAGGAAGCAUCGGCUAAC
rnacentral:rRNA from 1 species